UGCAAGUCGGACGGUAACAUGAAGUGCUUGCACUUUGAUGACGAGUGGCGCACGGGUGCGCAACGCGUAUAGAACCUACCCUUUACAGGGGGAUAGCCCAGAGAAAUUUGGAUUAAUACCCCGUAGUACCUAUUAGAGGCAUUUUUAAUAGGUUAUAGUUUUCGAACGGUAAAGGAUGGCUAUGCGUCUUAUUAGCUAGUAGGUAAGGUAACGGCUUACCUAGGCUACGAUAAGUAGGGGCCCUGAGAGGGGGAUCCCCCACACUGGUACUGAGACACGGACCAGACUCCUACGGGAGGCAGCAGUGAGGAAUAUUGGACAAUGGGCGGAAGCCUGAUCCAGCCAUGCCGCGUGCAGGAAGACGGCCCUAUGGGUUGUAAACUGCUUUUAUACGGGAAGAAUAAGGGAUACGUGUAUCCUGGUGACGGUACCGUAAGAAUAAGGACCGGCUAACUCCGUGCCAGCAGCCGCGGUAAUACGGAGGGUCCGAGCGUUAUCCGGAAUUAUUGGGUUUAAAGGGUCCGCAGGCGGGCAAUUAAGUCAGAGGUGAAAUGGUGCGGCUCAACCGUAGCACUGCCUUUGAUACUGGUUGUCUUGAGUCAUGGUGGAGUGGCCGGAAUAUGUAGUGUAGCGGUGAAAUGCAUAGAUAUUACAUAGAACACCGAUCGCGAAGGCAGGUCACUAACCAUGAACUGACGCUGAUGGACGAAAGCGUGGGGAGCGAACGGGAUUAGAUACCCCGGUAGUCCACGCCGUAAACGAUGGAUACUAGCUGUCCGCUGCCUUGAGCAGUGGGCGGCCAAGCGAAAGUGAUAAGUAUCCCACCUGGGGAGUACGUUCGCAAGAAUGAAACUCAAAGGAAUUGACGGGGGCCCGCACAAGCGGUGGAGCAUGUGGUUUAAUUCGAUGAUA
rnacentral:rRNA from 1 species